rnacentral:lncRNA from 1 species
GCUCACCGUCCGCCGGCUGCUGGAAGUUCACAUACGCGUAGCCCAAGGAGCGGCGGGUGAUCAUGUCCCUGCAGACCCGGAUGGAGAGGAUGGGCCCGGCCGGGCUGAACUUCUCGUAGAGCAUCGCCUCGGUCACGUCGGGGUGGAGGUCCCCCACGUAGAGCGAGGCCAUGGGGUAGCUGGGGGCACUGGGGUUCAUCUCGGCACGGCUGCCCGCAGGGCCACAGGCCGCGACCUUUCCGUGAGAGGAGGAGAGCGAGUGCCGGGGCUGGGGGCCGGAGCCGGGGGGAGGGGAGCGGGGAGCAAGCGCAGAGGGACAAAAAUCAACCGGAAUUGAAAACUACUCAACGGCCGCAGAACGGGGUCGAUCCACUGCCGCUGGCUGCCGGCUGCCGGCGGGGAGCGAGGGUGGCGGUGUCGGGUCCGGGCAGCGGGAAGGCCUCGGUCUCUUGGUUCCUUCUUGGAGCUGCUGCGGGGCCGCGGGCGGGCGGGUCGGUCUCGGCUGCUUCACCGGGUUAUUUUAUAAAAGAGGAAGAAAAAAAAUAAAAGUCUCCGGCGGGGGAGACGCGGAUUUUUUGUAAAUUUUUUUGGGGUUUUUUAAAAGAUUUUUUUAGAUUUUUUUUGGAUUUUUUAAUAAUAAAUGUGUGUUCCGAGCCCGGAGCACACACUCCGCACUCUCAGCACUAACCGCCGGGGAGAAGGGGAAGCACCGCCUCCUGCACCCUCUACUUAUACCCCGCGCCGCACUCGCCCCGCCCCCGCGCGUCUGACGCCAGGGCCCCUACGCGAGCGUCAGCGCCGGAGUAGGAGGAGACGCGGAGGCCAGGGGGAGGAGGGAAGAGAAAACAGGAGGAAAGAGCAGAGAGGAAGGGAGAGCCUCUCAAGAGAAAAAUGGAGAAGCUGAAAGCCAUUCCCAUCUAAGAACUCAGAGGUGUCAGUUGUUUGCCUG